rnacentral:rRNA from 1 species
UACGUAGGGGGCAAGCGUUGUCCGGAAUCACUGGGCGUAAAGCGUGCGUAGGCGGUUUUAUAAGUCCGGAGUGAAAGUCCAGGGCUCAACCCUGGGAUUGCUUUGGAAACUGUAGGACUUGAGUGCUGGAGAGGCAAGGGGAAUUCCACGUGUAGCGGUGAAAUGCGUAGAUAUGUGGAGGAAUACCAGUGGCGAAGGCGCCUUGCUGGACAGUAACUGACGCUGAGGCACGAAAGCGUGGGGAGCAAACAGG